UAAAGAAUCUGUUUUGACAGUAAAAAGGAGCCAAGCAAGAGAUAUCCCUUUGAGCUAGAGGAUAUUUAUCUUUAUGUACGUUUAUGUAUGAUUACAGCUAGCAGACGACUUUUUCUGUUUUUAGCUUGCGUGCACUUUAGUGUUUGUUCCUUUUGUUUUUCCACAGUAUUACGGCUAUAAUAGCCACUCUGGUACUAGGUAGAGCUAAGCAUCACUUUAAUUGGCUGAAAACGAGCCGGUCGUGACUUGAGUGUAAUCGACAUAGCAUUCUCUGUGCAUCUUUCGUUAACCGUGUACCUUAUGGGGUGUGGAACUGCUCGUAUGGGAAGACUGCCAUAACUCAAAUACGACGCGGUGGAGUGAUGAGUAUUUAAUAUUGGGAGAAUGUUUACCACCAACAUCUCCAAUGAAAGCGACGAUCAUUGAGACCCAGCAGAGCCGAACGAGAAAUAUACUCUCAUGACAGUCACUAUUCACCACCGUUUACGCCCGGUUGGCAUACCAACUAUGUCUCAGGGUCCCUCUGUUAGCCGUUUCACGAAUUAGCACUGUUUCACAGCUAAGACGCCCAGGCACGCUCGGACGUUACCGGAGUCAAGCCAUUUCAAGUUUGUUUGCUUGCUGUAGCGUAUUUCGGCCUAAGAUGUAUAGAAUGGAUUCGACCCUAAGUUAGAACUCAUCACAAGGAAACUGUUCUUGAGUUUAGUACGGCCUUAACCGUUGCUACGCAAGUUAAGUAGGUGAGCGCCGCAAUUUAUAUCUGCUAGUCUUCAAAUAAAAGAAGAAUUUACAGUAUAGCUGCAUUUAAAAUGGACCCAUUGUGUGGAUAUAGUAACACCUCUAUCCACGCGUUAGUUGGUAGAACUAUUUAAAGCGAUUCAAACAAAUAGAGAAGAAGUUUAUAUGUAGGGGGAUAUUUUUAAAUUCAAUCAAAAAGCUCUGCAGUAAGCCACUACCAGGAGCUUCUUAACCUGAUAAUAUUUUUGGUUCGGAAAUAACUAACUUUCUUUGUGCAGGCAAACUGUGUAACGUCGGCAAUUCAUUUCGGAAGUUAAACAUAAGCAAGACUUCACUUUCCAUGCUCACUUCGCUUUGGCAUCUCGCUACGUUAAUUCCAGUUUUCGUCAGUGUCAACAUUAAGCCGCUUUGUCGCUUUGUGUUGAAGAUUGAAUGCGAGUAUCGUCGAUGGACAAUCAUCCCGUGCAUGCACUGGUCCGAAAUAAAGGUCGUAGAAGCGGUAUAACUCCCGUAUAUGAUUUCUCCGAUUCUAAUUGUAGUAGAAUAGUAAUAAUUUGACGCAUAUAUAAAGUGUACUCUUGGCAGCUCGGAACACGCGUAGUUUCGUGGUGUCUCUUAGUUUGUUAUUUACCGUAACUCUAUAAUUAGUUGGUUCUUGUCGACCUUUUGCCAGGACCGUUUAUCAUAGAAGUCUCGACACUUUUGGCGUUCAACUCAAAAAGGCAUUCUGCCAUCUUGAGAGUUUCCGAGAUUUCUGGCAGGUUAUGUCGAUCAAAGAAAUACUGAAGGCGAUCGUUUAUGAAAUAUUCUGUAAGAGCAACGAUAAAUGACAGAUGUGCUUCACAAAUGACAAGUAGUACGAGCGGAACGACCGAUUAGUAAUCAACUAACCAAACCUGUAUUUGUGUAGAAUUUUGGGUACUCGUAACGCUGUUGUUGAUCGUCUAUUGGCACACAAUGGAACCAGUCAGGCUUCGUUAUCCGAGAAGUAAUAAACGGCAAGACGAUUGCAAUUGGUCAACCUAGAUUUCAAUGUAAGCUUUGUGCGAACGUCAAUCGGUGACUGAUCUUCAGUCGUAACAUGUGCCAUAUGGAACAUGUUCGCCUUCGUCGAAAUGCGUAAAAACUUUUGGCGCUUAGAGUUUGUUUGUGGUUCAUCUAAUUAUGACCUUGGCAACGUCUUUUGUGUAAUCGUGUUUAUCUAUGAUGGAUUAUUGGCGUCAUCUGAGCCCGUGAUAGUGCCCUAAGAAGUUAGAACUGAACUUCCUGGAUAAAUAUAAACCAAACCAAGUCUGCUAUCCUGUUUGUUGCUAUCUUAUUCAAUGGCAAGUUAGUUCGCGGAAACAUAUCUGAAGUAGUCGACUGGAACGACUUCGAGAAUAUUUCUAACGUAAUAUCUAGGGGCUAGUUCAUCAGAGUGACUGAAUGAGGCUAUAAUUAUAUUAUGAUAAUAUGCUUCUCUAAACUUAGAACCACGUGAAAUGGCUAAGGUCUGAAAGUAGGAGUGGACAUAGUUUGUUUCGUUCUGAAGACAAGCUGUUUGAAGCAGUGCUUGAUGGCAGUACCGGACGGAAAACUCGGUCAUGAAAUUAACGGCGUGCGUUAGCUCUAUCAAGUCAAUCGCAUUUGGAGAUGCGUGAGUUUCCGGUUGAGAAGAUGGAGGGCAACAGUUUGCAGUUUCGAUUUGGAGCGUAUGUUGAAUCUAACAAUGACUGUGAAUUUAUCGCUGAUCUGAUAGACUCGAAAUUCCUCGAUCGUGAAUAUCAAAAAAACGGAUCGUUAUUCAUAUUAUUGUGAUUCGUGUUUCAAUGUAACUGUUACAUCGACGGGUCAAUAGCGCGCAGAUAGAGCUAUUCCCAUCUAAAGUACCUUUUUCGGUUUCUACAUUUAAGCGCAGAAAUCGUAUUGUCAUGAAUUGGAUAAGGGCUUGCGUGUUGUCGAAGACCUUAGUGAAGAGUCGAUUUUUCGGAAAAGCGUUGACCUAAAUACCAUUGGUACGUCUAGAAGAUCCGAACUGCAACCGACGAUCAAGGCCAAAAAUGUUGCUGUGUUCGAUUCGACCGUGCGUCAGUAACAGCGUGAGCCGUGGGGGUCGAGUAGAUGUUAAGGGUGAAUAUUCCUUUGAUUUGUCCGUGAUAUCUCUUUUACGAGCAAAGUGCUGUCACGUCCUAUGUACAAGGUUGUUCGCUAUUUGUUCGAGUGUUCUCGGAGUUACUGGCUUGUUCCCUGGCUCUAUCUCAAAGUAUGCUCACCAUUAUCGUAUAUUAAAUCGAGCGUUACAUAUUUCGACGAAUAUAUAGAUAGAAUAUCGUAGAAUUACAUCGAAGUAUUCAAAUGCAGACUUCAAUCUUCAUCUGCGUUUAAGCAAUUCGCAAAGGUUCUUUAACGGAAGGUAAACUGCGUGCGACUGAUCCGGUAAUGGCAAAUAAGGUUGACAUCAAGACAAAUUAAUGAUCAAGAACUUGAUCCUGUGCUCCAUUAUGCCCCUACAUUAAUCGUAUGAUUGGGCCAAGACAUAAUAAAGGUUUAUACACCGAAUGGCU
rnacentral:lncRNA from 1 species